GAUGAACGCUGGCGGCGUGCCUAAUACAUGCAAGUCGAGCGAACGGACGAGAAGCUUGCUUCUCUGAUGUUAGCGGCGGACGGGUGAGUAACACGUGGAUAACCUACCUAUAAGACUGGGAUAACUUCGGGAAACCGGAGCUAAUACCGGAUGAUAUUUUGAACCGCAUGGUUCAAAAGUGAAAGACGGUCUUGCUGUCACUUAUAGAUGGAUCCGCGCUGCAUUAGCUAGUUGGUAAGGUAACGGCUUACCAAGGCAACGAUGCAUAGCCGACCUGAGAGGCUGAUCGGCCACACUGGAACUGAGACACGGUCCAGACUACUACGGGAGGCAGCAGUAGGGAAUCGUCGGCAAAGGGCGAAAGCCUGACGGAGCAGCGCCGCGUGAGUGAUGAAGGUCUUCGGAGCGUAAAACUCUGUUACUAGGGAAGAACAUAUGUGUAAGUAACUGUGCACAUCUUGACGGUACCUAAUCAGAAAGCCACGGCUAACUACGUG
rnacentral:rRNA from 1 species